GGGCUUUCUUUGUUAUUCACAUGUUGGGCUCUACGUUUGACUGCUCUAUCGGACCAAAGACGAUGCGACUUGCCCUAUAACCUGAUUUCUCCAUCGACGAUUUGCUGAUCGUCUGCGACCUUGACUCUCUGACAUCUUAUCUAGAAUCUCAUUUUCCUGUUUAUUGGCUAACUCAUCGAUUCUUCUUGCUGAUUUGAAGGCUGGCAGCUGUUCUUCCAGGGUCGAGGAAUCAAGGAUCGUAGCUCUAUCGGUUCACAUGAUCCAUCAAGACCCAAACUGUUCAUAUUCAUCGGUACAUCCAAUUUUUUCCCACAAAGGAUGAAAAUGGAAUCAUGUAAGAUGUUCAUCGGUCGGCUAUCCUGGAAGACCACUGAAUAUCGAGAGUACUUCAGAGUUUCGGUGAGGUUUUACAAGUGGUGAUCAUGAAGGAUCGAGCCACUGGCUGUGCUCAUGGCUUUGGUUUCUUUUUCUUUACUGGUUCCAGUGUUGCUGUGAGAGCCAUAUUUGCUCAUUCACGUCAUUGAUGUUGAAUUUUGUUUGGAACAGAGGUUACUGCUCCUCCAAGUAAAGCUAUCGUUUUAUUCAUGCCUGUUUUUGCCUAUGUUCUUCUGCAUUUUCGCCAAAGCUUAGGUUAUAUCCCUUUUCAGCCUGGUUAUUUAUCAACGCCACGUCAUGAACUUGCAUCUACUUUGAUUCAGAAGCAGCUGCAGGACAGUGUUACUAUGAGAGAAAAAUGAAUCUCUCACUGUAGCGGAACUGAUGUCAUAAAAAUACAACCUCAGUCAGUCGACGUUCCCUGUACCGGCAACGUAAUGGGAAUUCAAUCUGAAAUGGCUGGUGUUACAUCUCUUGAUCGAAGUGCUCCAAGAAGCUCCAGCGAGGUGUAUCUUCAUUCACCGGCAUUAGAUGUGAUGAAUCAAAUGCUGUUGGUGUCUUCAGGUGUUGUAUUGCAGUUACCGUGUGGAUUUGUCCAUUUCAGCUGAAAUCAAUGAUGUUGUCUUCAUCGUAGGUACAGCUUUCAAGAGUAACAACACCUGGUGGUCUCAAAAUACUUGACAAAACGGCUGCAACAAGCAGUCCAAAUGGUGUAACUAAUAUUGUUUACAGAUAGAUUUUCAAAGACCUUGGGACAGGUGGGUGUAACUAAUAUUGUUUACAGAUAGAUUUUCAAAGACCUUGGGACAGGUGACAGAUAGGAUAUGCGAGUAGUUUACUUGAUAGCAACAGCAAGGCUACUUCCUGCAAAACAAACAUACUACCAACAAUCUAGUGACUGGAAUAGCUGGGAGUGUGUCUUCGUGCAGCUGUGUCCCCAAGAUUUCAUAUCUAACUUUAGUGCAUUGAUUCACCAGUCACCCUGUGGUUGGUUGUUGUUUUUAUGUUAAAUACGAGAAGAAUAUUUGGGCAUAUAUAUAUAACUUAAAUAAAUGGAUGCAUCUGGUUUAGAGUUA